GCCUACGGGGCGCAGCAGUGGGGAAUAUUGCACAAUGGGGGAAACCCUGAUGCAGCGACGCCGCGUGAAGGAAGAAGGAUCUCGGUAUGUAAACUUCUAUCAGCAGGGAAGAAAAUGACGGUACCUGACUAAGAAGCUCCGGCUAAAUACGUUCCAGCAGCCGCGGUAAUACGUAUGGAGCAAGCGUUAUCCGGAUUUACUGGGUGUAAAGGGAGCGCAGACGGCAUGGCAAGUCAGAUGUGAAAGCCCG
rnacentral:rRNA from 1 species